UGAUUUCCCUUGGAGGAUCUGAGUCUCCAGAUCGAGUGUGGAACAAAUGCUGCCUCCGGCUUUUUAUCUGAUUUGUUCCUGAUGACGAUGGAGAAGAAAACGACUCUGUGUACGAUGCUCUUUUAGAAAUAUGAUUUGUUGGACGGUACUAUCCCCAUUUCUCGUCCUGUAAUGCGUUCUUUACAUCUCCUGGGAAACUGGAUUUUUUGACUGGUGAAUCCCCAGGAACUUGAUUUUUGGAUAUGUGGACUACUUUUUAGGGAAAGAAAAAGCAAGUGGCUCCUGUUGCCUCGAGGAGGAAGAGUAGAAGAAAUCGUACGCAUACUGCUUUCUCUCCUAAACAUGCCCCUGCCCCAGAACCCCACAAGCUUCCGGAAACCUUUAAAUAGAAGAUAUCAAUGCAUCUCCAUCUCUGCCUCACACCACUGAUUCUCAAACCUAUUUUUCCUAUGGCUCCAUUCCAGGGACUUUCAGUAUAUUCAAGAGUUUUUUGUGGAAAUAUUUUAAAAAAUGAAAUGUAAACUUAAUUUUGCUUAAUGUCAUAAAACCCUUUUGAUGAAAAGGCAGAAAACAGUGGUACCAUGUUUUUGUUUUGUUAGGAGGGAGACGCUAGCCUUGGAUUUGGUACCAUGCAGGGAAGUGUUGGCUCCCUGUGGGCUAGGGUGGAGCAUCACCCCCUGUCCUGGACUCUAGGGUGGACACCAAGCCAAAGUGGUGCUAAGGAGCUCAGGACCACCUUCCCCCUCUGCAGGGUCUCUGCUGCUCUCUCCCCACUUCCCCUUGAGAAAAUAAGAAAACUCUUGCUCUCUGGAAAAGAAUUAUUGGCAAAUAGCAAUAAAUGAGCAUUUGUUAUCUUCAUGAAUGUUGUUCAGGAUGAUGCAAGACGUGGCCCACAUGCUCACUUAAUCCUUUCUCUGUCUCAAUUUUACAAAGAAGGUAUCACAGAAGGGAGGAGGAGCAUAUUGAAAUAUUAUGUCCUGUCUGUGUUGAAAUUUACCUACCCUACAUUAUUCCAAGGGUGGCAGACAUUAAUUGGUGGACUUCUGCUUCAUGUGUCAUGGAAACUGCGCUGGGUAGAGAUCAACAGCAGUUCAAGAUCUGAUGUUUUGACAUGGCUUCCUGCUUCGGUGCUGUUUGUGGGUAUCAUCUAUGCUGGUUCCAGAGCACUGUCCAGACUGGCCAUCCCUGUGUUUCUCACUUUGCAUAAUGUAGCCGAAGUUAUCAUCUGUGGGCACCAGAAGUGUUUUCGGAAAGAGAAAACAUCUCCUGCAAAGAUCUGUAGUGCCCUCUUCCUUCUGGCCGCCGCAGGGUCCCUGCCCUUCAAUGACUCCCAGUUUGAUCCAGAUGGAUAUUUCUGGGCUGUGAUUCACUUAUUCUGCGUAGGGGCUUAUAAGAUACUACAGAAAUCCCAGAAACCCAGUGCGUUAAGUGACAUUGACCAGCAGUACUUAAACUAUCUAUUCAGUGCGGUGCUCCUGGCAUGUGCAUCUCACCCCACAGGUGAUCUCCUCAGCGUCCUGGACUUUCCGUUCCUGUAUUUCUACAGAUUCCAUGGCAGCUGCUGUGCCAGUGGAUUUUUAGGAUUCUUCCUCAUGUUCAGCACAGUGAAGCUAAAAAGCCUCAUGGCCCCAGGGCAGUGUGCAGCCUGGAUUUUCUUUGCUAAGCCUCCUGCUCGGCGGACUUGGAGAAGCCUUGCUGGUUUUCUCGGAGCAGAAGAAGGGCUCCUAAACGCAGGGAAAGUGGACUCCCAGGCUGCAGCUGGAGAACCCCGCCCUGGGCUUCAGAGCUCCCUGUCCCGGCGAUAGAAAGAAGAAAGCAAGGACAGUGGGACGCUGCUACUCGCCGCGUCGAGGAGAACUCUCUCUGUGGUCUUUGAGCUGCUGCAGAGAGUGGACUGUGUCGAGAGGCUCCCCCCAGUCCUGCUGACCACGCCGCGCGCCCAGUUGUGCAGAAACAGGAGGUGAUAGAAGCAACGCUACCGGACUUCCAAGGCCAGGUUGAAAGCAGCCUUGCGGUGUCUGCCUAGAUCUGAACAGCCUCUGGGAGUCCUGAGCUGCCGUGUAGAAGUCUGACUCCCCUGAGGUGGCCGUGCUGGAGAGACCAGGUACAGGAGCCCUGUAGACAGUCCCCAUAGCACCCAGUCUUCAUACCGCUCCCCCGACCAGGCUACCAGAUGUGUGAGGGGAGCUGCCCUGGACCCUCUAGGACCAGCCCAUCUGCCCGCUGAGUGCCAUCAAGUGCCAUCAGUCAAUGCCACGUGGUGCAGAAGGAUCAGAGCCUGCAUGAAUGCCUGACCACAAAAUCACGAGAUACAGUGAAAUUGUUUGAAGCCACUAAGUUUUGGGAAAACUUGUUACACAGUAGAGAGCCUCGGAUUCUCUUCGUCUCAGGUGGAUGCAGUCUGAGCCCUCUGAGCCCCUCCGCUGAGUAGACGCUUGCUCCGGGAGACCAGUCUCUGCUCCAGCUGCCCUCCACCCCAGAGCUGCCUGGCGAAGGGGAGCCCUGCUGACUGUCCAGGGCUUGCCCAGACCCCAAUUACAGGGCAGGAUCUGUGCCUUAGGUCAAAGAACCUCAUUCACUCACUCAUUCAUUCAAAAGAUGCCAAGAACCCACGGUGUGCUGGGCUCUGUUUUGGGCUUGUGGAUGUGUCCUUGAAUCAGACGAGCCCCCCUGAAGUUUACUUUCUAGUGGUGGCGACAGACACUAAACCAGUAAAUAGUGGGAUUUCAGAGAGAGAGUUAAGUGCUUUUAAUAAAAUAAAGCCCAGAUGGAGACACAGACUCUUCCGAAAAUCUGAUGAAAAGAAAGGCAUUUUUCUUCCAAAAUGUGCAGACACACACACACACACACGCACACACACACACACUUGAGCAUGUAGUUGGGGGAUUUAUUCUCCCUGAAGGCCAUCCAUAGCGCCUCUGUUGGAUUCCAGGUUAAGAACAACUGAGUGAGACCCUCCUUGGGGGAUGUGGGGUGAAGUCAAGGAAUGUGCUGCCACCCCCCACGGGUCUGAGUGGAGGCCAGAUCACUUGGUUACAGAUGGGCCUUGUGCAGACAUUGGCAGCCAUAGGAGGCUUGGCCCUGCCUCGGGAACACUUUCAGGCUGGUGUGGGAGAGAUGUGCAGACUUGAAGAUGGAUCUCACGGUCAAUUUCAAGGGCGUGAUGCACCUGACAGGGGCCUGGUGCGAUGCCGGGAGGGAGACGCCCCAGCUGCGAGGCCCAGCACCGAGACUUCCUGGGGGCCAUGCAGAGCAUUGCCCAAAGGGCUUCACUCUUGAGGCGUCUCCCCUAAUCCUCGCAGGGAGCCUCUGGUGGAGGAAUUGCCAUUGGCCUCGUUUUGCAGAGGGGAAGGCGGACACAGAGCUGGUAAGUCACAUCCCUGAGGCCCUUGGCUCGGGGGAGGGGACUUGAGGGACAUAUGUGACCUCGCAGCCCCGCCGCUCAGCUCCCACGCAAGUGACAGGGAGCCAAGUGAGCAGAGCUGGAGCUGGGGAGCCCGGCCAUGCCCAGGGAGUGGCCGCUGGCGCAGCAGGGCCCAAGAGGCCAGGAAGUGGAUUGGGCCAGGCCAGGGAUGGUUUGAACGCCUGGCUGGGAAAUCAUGUCUGUGAGCACCUGUGAUGCCUCAGACAGAGUGCAGGUGCCUCCCCCACGCUGUGUCACCUACUCUUCACAACUCUGGACUUACAGAAGAUGCCACUGAGAGCCUGACCCUACAGAAAAACUCGCCACGCUCAGCGGUCCUGAACCAAGAUUCCAAGGUGGCUUUCACGACCCUUCUGCCCUGGCCCCUCCCAUGUCAUGGGUUGUCUAUGGGCACUGCCCACCGCACCCCCAACCCAGAACCACUGGGUUCUGAACAAACCAGAGGAGCCAAGCCCCCACGGGUGGCCCUCGUGCAGGGUCCAGGGCAGUGCUCUCCACUGCGGGCAUCGGCUGCCCAGGCCCCAGACAGGCCGUCUGCCCGGCAGCUCCCGGGUCCUCUGACCUGGGCAGCAAACCACUGGGCAGGCCGAGGCCAUCCUGGAGCCUGCACGAGGCUCCCUCUGUUCUGGAGACAUUUCAGACUCAGACAUCCUGUGCUUUUCGGUGGAAUGCGGGAUUCUUCGCUCCUGCUGUGAGCUGAUUUUCGGUGGCCUGACCAGCAGCGGCUUGCCCUUUGCAAAAGCAACCCCUGGCAUACAGACCUUCGUCCGGUUCCAUCCAGGACCCACGGGGGAGGGAUCUGAAGGCACUGUGUCCCACUCUGCCCUGCAGCUCCCCUCCCUUGGCCGCUGAGGGUGGAAUCCCAUUUAAACAACCGCCUGAGCCGGAGGGGACAUCUGAGUCAUUUCUUUCCUGCUCACUGUGAAGAGGCCCACGGGCUGGGGAGCACAAGGCCUCUGGGCCCACUGGUCUUCACACCCCUCACUCUGAGUGAGCCUCCGGGAGGGCAGUGGAGCCCUUGGAAAUGCGGGGACUUGAUCCAGGCACCAUUCCCCGGCCGGUGGACUUGCUGAUGACUGAAGGGGAGCCGUUUAGUGGGAAGGGGUGUAAGUGGGAGACAGACCCCUGGGUUCUGUCCAGGCUCUCUCGCCACCCUGGCAAGGGACGUCAAUCAUUCUUUCGUUUAUCUCCUCUUCCCUUCAUUCAUCACCUAUCUACCGAAUGCGCAUUGGGCGCUAGACGUCUCCAUUUUCUCCAGCAGAGCUAGCCCAACACCACAGAGACGCCAGCCACUCCGCUGCUGGAGGCCAGGCCCGGCUCUUCACACAGGUGAGGCUGGGGCGGAGUCGGCAUCCCAUGGAGGGAGGCUGCAAGCUGUCCCUGAGGCAGGCUCUCCCUCGUCCUGGCGGGAGCAGCUCUGCGGACCUCCUAUGUGACUGUCGACUACAGCAGAUACACCCUCCCUGUUCUCAGGGAGGCCCUGAAUCUACAAGAAGGCCUACAGACUGAGAUUUAAAAAAAUAAUAAUAACAGCUUUAUUGAGAUGUAAUUUACAUACCCUGAAAUGCAUCCUUUUUUUUUUUAAUGUAUUGGGUUUUUUUUUCAAGCCUUUAAUUUGCUACAAUAUUGCUUCUGUUUCAUGUUUUGGUUUUUUGGCUGCGAGGCAUGUGGGAUCUUAGCUCCCCAACCAGGGAUGGAACCUGUACCCCCUGAAUUGGAAGGUGAAGUCUUAACCACUGGACCGCCAAGGGAAGUCCCUAAAAUGCACCCACUUAAAGUGUACAGUUCGGUGGUUUUUAGUAUAUUCACAGAAUUCUGCAGCCAUCAUCUAAUUUUAGAACGUUUCUGUCACCCCCAAAAGAAACCCUGUACCCAUUGUCACUCACUCCUCCCUCCCCCACUCCCGCAAACCCAGGGGAUCUGUUUUCUAUCCCUACAGAUGUGUACAUUCUGGAGAUUCCAUAUAAACAGGGGUCACGCAGUAUGUGGCCUUUUGUGUUGGA